rnacentral:sRNA from 1 species
GUACAUCCUAUUAUUGAACAAUUUGUUCAUUCAAUUUAGUAUAAUUUGGUAUUUGUAUGCAUCAUAUACCGGUGUAUAAAUAUAUAGGGUUUUUUCAAUGCUAUUACAUAUAAUAUGAUUGUUAAUAUAUAUCUUCUCUGAAGUGGUUUUCAUGGAAACUCUUAUCUAUUUGCAGUUAUGAACUAUAGAGUAUGUAUGUAGUAUGUAUGUUUCUAUGAAAACAUGCUAUUUUCAAAAUACAUGUACUAGGAAAGAGAAUUUGUGUGUGCGUGUGUAUGUAUUUUAGUGAUCAGUAAAUAAGUAAAAAAAAUUUGAUUACUUCAGUAUUGUCAACUUUCAACAAUUGCUUUUCUUUAUCCACAUGCAUUAUAUAGAAAAACUGACUUUGUGUUGUAAUUUAUGUUGUAUAUGAAAAUACGCAAGUUAAGCUAGAAUUUGUUAUUUGCAGACCAUGCAGCAAUUUUUAUGGGUCUGUUUCAGUUGUGUGUUUUUUUCCUACUAGUCCAUAUAGAUUCCAUUAUUUCCAUUUAAUGUGUAUUAGCCUGCAUUUGCUUAAGUCAAAUGUGCAUUUCACAAUUCCAAAUUUGGACAUUUUACCUAAGUAUUUUUUAAGAACUAUAUCAGAAAUUGUAAUGGCAUCCAUUCCAUAUGUAUCUGAUCAUGACGUACGUAUUGUAAUUUUCUAAAUUGUGACUUUUAUGCUUAAAACUUUCAAAUGUUUUGCUCUGUAAGAAUACAUGUAUUUAUUUUUUUACAUCAUUGAGACUUUAACAUGCAAUAAAAUCGAAUCUU